GAGUUUGAUCCUGGCUCAGGACGAACGCUGGCGGCGUGCUUAACACAUGCAAGUCGAACGGUCUACCCUGACAGAAACCUUCGGGUUGAAGACAGGACUAGAUAGUGGCGGACGGGUGAGUAACACGUGAAUAAUCUGUCCUCAACUCUGGGAUAACCUGGCGAAAGUCGGGCUAACCCCGGAUAAGCUGAGAGUGUGGCAUCACACAAUCAGAAAAGGUGGUUUUGCCAUUGUUUGAGGAGGAGUUCGCGGUAGAUUAGCUAGCUGGUGAGGUAAAAGCUCACCAGGGCAACAAUCUAUAGCUGGUCUGAGAGGACGAUCAGCCACACUGGAACUGAGACACGGUCCAGACUCCUACGGGAGGCAGCAGUGGGGAAUCUUCCACAAUGGGCGCAAGCCUGAUGGAGCAACGCCGCGUGAGUGAAGAAGGUCUUCGGAUUGUAAAGCUCUGUCCUUAGGGAAGAACCGUGGGUAUAGAUUAAUGAUACCCAUCUGACGGUACCUUUGGAGGAAGCACUGGCUAACUACGUGCCAGCAGCCGCGGUAAUACGUAGAGUGCAAGCGUUGUCCGGAAUUAUUGGGCGUAAAGGGUACGCAGGCGGAUAAUCAAGUCAAGCGUGAAAGGUGUCGGCUUAACCGACAGACUGCGUUUGAAACUGAUUAUCUUGAGUGUAACAGAGGAGAGUGGAAUUCCUAGUGUAGUGGUGAAAUACGUAGAUAUUAGGAAGAACACCAGUGGCGAAGGCGACUCUCUGGGUUAACACUGACGCUGAGGUACGAGAGCUGGGGGAGCGAACGGGAUUAGAUACCCCGGUAGUCCCAGCCGUAAACGAUGGAUACUAGGUGUUGGAGGUUCGAAUCCUUCAGUGCCGGAGUUAACGCAUUAAGUAUCCCGCCUGGGGAUUACGAUCGCAAGAUUGAAACUCAAAGGAAUUGACGGGGGCCCGCACAAGCGGUGGAGCAUGUGGUUUAAUUCGAAGCAACGCGAAGAACCUUACCGAGAAUUGACAUCCCGUGACCAUCUAUGAAAGUAGAGUUUGACACUUUGUGUCACACGGAGACAGGUGGUGCAUGGCUG
rnacentral:rRNA from 1 species